rnacentral:tRNA from 1 species
GCGUGCGUAGCCAAGUGGUUAAGGCAAUGGAUUGUGGCUUCAUCAUGCGCGGGUUCGACUCCCGUCGCUCGCC